UAACCAUGAUGGGGGCAAGCAUUAAGUAGAUCCUUGAAUCUCUCCCAGAACUGAUAAAAGGUCUCAGUGUCUUUCUGGGCAAAAUUCAUAAUCUGCCUAUUGGUUCU